rnacentral:snRNA from 1 species
GAGCUCGUUUUGGCAGCACAUAUACUAAAAUCAGAAUGAUACAGAGAAGAUUAGCAUGGCUCCUCUGCGAGAAUGACACACAAAUUCAUGAAGUGUUCCACAUUUUU